AACGAACGCUGGCGGCAGGCCUAACACAUGCAAGUCGAGCGAAGCCUUCGGGCUUAGCGGCGGACGGGUGAGUAACGCGUGGGAACGUGCCCUUUGGUACGGAAUAGCCCCGGGAAACUGGGAGUAAUACCGUAUGUGGUCGAGAGACGAAAGAUUUAUCGCCAAAGGAUCGGCCCGCGUUGGAUUAGGUAGUUGGUGGGGUAAUGGCCUACCAAGCCGACGAUCCAUAGCUGGUUUGAGAGGAUGAUCAGCCACACUGGGACUGAGACACGGCCCAGACUCCUACGGGAGGCAGCAGUGGGGAAUCUUAGACAAUGGGUGGAAACCCUGAUCUAGCCAUGCCGCGUGAUCGAUUAAGGCCUUAGGGUUGUAAAGAUCUUUCAGUGGGGAAGAUAAUGACUGUACCCACAGAAGAAGACCCGGCUAACUCCUUGCCAGCCGCCGCGGUAACUC
rnacentral:rRNA from 1 species